AACCGUCCUACUAUGAGAAAGCCUGAGACACCCAUGAGGACAACACAGAUCUCAGUCCAUAGGCUAGCUGAGUUCUCAGCUGACAGUGAACAUCAUUUACUAGCCAUGGUAGCCAGCUCCUCUGGUUCCAUCUUCAGCUGCCUUAACUGAUGGUGUCUGGAGCAGAGAAGAAAUAUUACCCAAGCCUGGCCAAGUCUUAUGAUCAAAAUAACUAUUUUAAACCAACAGUUCUGCAGACAAUGGAGAGUUGUGCACACACAUACAUACACAUGAGUGUACUAGUUGACUUGGGUAGGCUGCAAAGACAAGGUAUAAAGGGCACUGUAGGGUGAGGUCACAUAGCAUCUGCAGCUGCUUCCUAGAAUAAGGUGGAGAAAGCAUGCAGCACCAUCUUUUCUUAUGGAAAGACCAUUGUCUGUGAGGAUAUCUUACCUUUCAGAAAGCUGUCGGAUCUGUGGGAUUCCCAUGUAUUUGUGAAAGUGCUCCAGAACAUUCAUUACACCCUGAAGGAGAUUAGCAACUUCUCCAUACUGUCUGCGCCUGGUCAUGGCUCUGCAAGGACAGAAGUUGAGACGUAGUCACUGAAGAGACAAGAUAGAAGACGUGGGACGACUUGCGAGACCCAGAUAUCUCUGAAGACACAAGAUAGCAGGUGUGGGAUGAUCUACAAGAGCUAGAUUUAGUAUAAGUACUGGGGAAGGAAAGAUUAGGAUUUAGCUCCAACUCUCAAGGUGACAUCAUUUAAUAAUGGGAGUGUCAAGUAAACAUUUAACU
rnacentral:lncRNA from 1 species